CACGUGCACAAAUGGCUAGUAGUUCGAAAUGUGAGGUGUUAUGCUGACAGAUCGUGGGAAUUGCGCUUUCUCUGAGAUCACUUACCACUGAAAAUCGACUUUCUCGAGAAACAAUUGACUCCAGAAAGGCUUCACGUGAUGCAGUUAUUAUACAAGACGACAGAGAUUCUAGAUGAGUAACCUGGAUAACUUCCAUUAUUGCACCUGCCAGAAGACGAAUUACAUGUGUGGUUUAGGCAUAAGUCACCUAUGUUUCAAUUAAUUAACAUUUUCUGGAUCUCGAUAAUUUCAUCUUUCGAGAUUCUCCAAAGAGUUACACAGAAAGUGCCUUUUCUUCAGGGAGCUGCCGUGACCAGUUUUCUGAAGAAAUGAGUGCAACUAAAUUAUUUGCAGGAUCUUUUGGGAGACCAGCCAUGCUGAAAGAGAUUUCUGAAUAAAUUUGCAUACAUGAUGGUG